rnacentral:rRNA from 1 species
UUAAGUUAUUAAGGGCGCACGGUGGAUGCCUUGGCACUAGAAGCCGAUGAAGGACGUUACUAACGACGAUAUGCUUUGGGGAGCUGUAAGUAAGCUUUGAUCCAGAGAUUUCCGAAUGGGGAAACCCAGCAUGAGUUAUGUCAUGUUAUCGAUAUGUGAAUACAUAGCAUAUCAGAAGGCACACCCGGAGAACUGAAACAUCUUAGUACCCGGAGGAAGAGAAAGAAAAUUCGAUUCCCUUAGUAGCGGCGAGCGAAACGGGAAGAGCCCAAACCAACAAGCUUGCUUGUUGGGGUUGUAGGACACUCUGUACGGAGUUACAAAGGACGACAUUAGACGAAUCAUCUGGAAAGAUGAAUCAAAGAAGGUAAUAAUCCUGUAGUCGAAAAUGUUGUCUCUCUUGAGUGGAUCCUGAGUACGACGGAGCACGUGAAAUUCCGUCGGAAUCUGGGAGGACCAUCUCCUAAGGCUAAAUACUCUCUAGUGACCGAUAGUGAACCAGUACCGUGAGGGAAAGGUGAAAAGCACCCCGGAAGGGGAGUGAAAUAGAACCUGAAACCGUGUGCUUACAAGUAGUCAGAGCCCGUUAAUGGGUGAUGGCGUGCCUUUUGUAGAAUGAACCGGCGAGUUACGAUUUGAUGCAAGGUUAAGCAGUAAAUGUGGAGCCGUAGCGAAAGCGAGUCUGAAUAGGGCGUUUAGUAUUUGGUCGUAGACCCGAAACCAGGUGAUCUACCCUUGGUCAGGUUGAAGUUCAGGUAACACUGAAUGGAGGACCGAACCGACUUACGUUGAAAAGUGAGCGGAUGAACUGAGGGUAGCGGAGAAAUUCCAAUCGAACCUGGAGAUAGCUGGUUCUCUCCGAAAUAGCUUUAGGGCUAGCCUCAAGUGAUGAUUAUUGGAGGUAGAGCACUGUUUGGACGAGGGGCCCCUCUCGGGUUACCGAAUUCAGACAAACUCCGAAUGCCAAUUAAUUUAACUUGGGAGUCAGAACAUGGGUGAUAAGGUCCGUGUUCGAAAGGGAAACAGCCCAGACCACCAGCUAAGGUCCCAAAAUAUAUGUUAAGUGGAAAAGGAUGUGGCGUUGCCCAGACAACUAGGAUGUUGGCUUAGAAGCAGCCAUCAUUUAAAGAGUGCGUAAUAGCUCACUAGUCGAGUGACACUGCGCCGAAAAUGUACCGGGGCUAAACAUAUUACCGAAGCUGUGGAUUGUCCUUUGGACAAUGGUAGGAGAGCGUUCUAAGGGCGUUGAAGCAUGAUCGUAAGGACAUGUGGAGCGCUUAGAAGUGAGAAUGCCGGUGUGAGUAGCGAAAGACGGGUGAGAAUCCCGUCCACCGAUUGACUAAGGUUUCCAGAGGAAGGCUCGUCCGCUCUGGGUUAGUCGGGUCCUAAGCUGAGGCCGACAGGCGUAGGCGAUGGAUAACAGGUUGAUAUUCCUGUACCACCUAUAAUCGUUUUAAUCGAUGGGGGGACGCAGUAGGAUAGGCGAAGCGUGCGAUUGGAUUGCACGUCUAAGCAGUAAGGCUGAGUAUUAGGCAAAUCCGGUACUCGUUAAGGCUGAGCUGUGAUGGGGAGAAGACAUUGAGUCUUCGAGUCGUUGAUUUCACACUGCCGAGAAAAGCCUCUAGAUAGAAAAUAGGUGCCCGUACCGCAAACCGACACAGGUAGUCAAGAUGAGAAUUCUAAGGUGAGCGAGCGAACUCUCGUUAAGGAACUCGGCAAAAUGACCCCGUAACUUCGGGAGAAGGGGUGCUCUUUAGGGUUAACGCCCAGAAGAGCCGCAGUGAAUAGGCCCAAGCGACUGUUUAUCAAAAACACAGGUCUCUGCUAAACCGUAAGGUGAUGUAUAGGGGCUGACGCCUGCCCGGUGCUGGAAGGUUAAGAGGAGUGGUUAGCUUCUGCGAAGCUACGAAUCGAAGCCCCAGUAAACGGCGGCCGUAACUAUAACGGUCCUAAGGUAGCGAAAUUCCUUGUCGGGUAAGUUCCGACCCGCACGAAAGGCGUAACGAUUUGGGCACUGUCUCAACGAGAGACUCGGUGAAAUCAUAGUACCUGUGAAGAUGCAGGUUACCCGCGACAGGACGGAAAGACCCCGUGGAGCUUUACUGUAGCCUGAUAUUGAAAUUCGGCACAGCCUGUACAGGAUAGGUAGGAGCCUUUGAAACGUGAGCGCUAGCUUACGUGGAGGCGCUGGUGGGAUACUACCCUAGCUGUGUUGGCUUUCUAACCCGCACCACUUAUC